AAUGGGCCAAAUCGUGCCCAAUUAUUACAAAACAGGACAAACCUCCUGUCACCUCCCGGGUAACAAAAAUCCUCCUAUAAAAGGAAACCUGGAGGGGAAAAGGGAGGGAGGACCAAAAAACAGGAGGAAAAACCCGAAGCUGGAGAGAACCCUCCUAGACCGGGUGGAGAGAAGUAAACAACACAGACAAUUGAGGAAACUGAUCCUCUUGAUCUUAUCCAAAUAUUCUCUCUGUCUUCUCCACAUACUCUUUUUCCUGCUCUCUCCACAUAUUUGCCCCCUCUGACUUAAGCAUCGGAGGGCCGGCGCCGGAGAGCCCGGCCACCGGUUUUCUUGCAGGACUUACGCCCCCCAGGAGGACGCCACCCGCCGGCAUGCCAUCGACCACCGCUCCUACGGCGGACUUGCACCCCUCCAGGAGGACGCCACCAGCCGGCGCACGGUCAUCCACUGUCCCUGCGGCGGAGCCCCUCCUUCCCCUGGCUUCGUGGCGGCCCCCGGGUCCAAUUUCCAGCAACAAU
rnacentral:lncRNA from 1 species